GUCUAUGGCCAUACCACCCAGAACUCGCCCAAUCUCAUCUGAUCUCAGAAGCUAAGCAGGGUCAGGCCUGGUUAGUGUUGGAUGGGAGAAAGUUACUUACAGAAGGCAGACAGCAACAAUCU
rnacentral:rRNA from 1 species